rnacentral:rRNA from 1 species
UACGUAGGUGGCAAGCGUUGUCCGGAUUUAUUGGGUUUAAAGGGUGCGUAGGCGGCUUUGUAAGUCAGUGGUGAAAUACGGUAGCUCAACUAUCGAGGUGCCAUUGAUACUGCGGAGCUUGAGUACAGAUGAGGUAGGCGGAAUUUACGGUGUAGCGGUGAAAUGCUUAGAUAUCGUCAAGAACACCUAUAGCGAAGGCAGCUUACUAGGCUGUAACUGACGCUGAGGCACGAAAGUGUGGGGAUCAAACAGG